GACGAACGCUGGCGGCGUGCUUAACACAUGCAAGUCGAACGGUAAGGCCCUUCGGGGUACACGAGUGGCGAACGGGUGAGUAACACGUGGGUGAUCUGCCCUGCACUUCGGGAUAAGCCUGGGAAACUGGGUCUAAUACCGGAUAGGACCCUGGGAUGCAUGUCCUGGGGUGGAAAGCUUUUGCGGUGUGGGAUGGGCCCGCGGCCUAUCAGCUUGUUGGGGGGGUGAUGGCCUACCAAGGCGACGACGGGUAGCCGGCCGGAGAGGGUGACCGGCCACACUGGGACUGAGAUACGGGCCAGACUCCUACGGGAGGCAGCAGUGGGGAAUAUUGCACAAUGGGCGCAAGCCUGAUGCAGCGACGCCGCGUGAGGGAUGACGGCCUUCGGGUUGUAAACCUCUUUCAGCACCGACGAAGCGCAAGUGACGGUAGGUGCAGAAGAAGGACCGGCCAACUACGUGCCAGCAGCCGCCGUAA
rnacentral:rRNA from 1 species